rnacentral:misc_RNA from 1 species
GAUGAAGAACGCAGCGAAAUGCGAUACGUAAUGUGAAUUGAAGAAUUCAGUGAAUCAUCGAGUCUUUGAACGCACAUUGCGCCCCCUGGUAUUCCGGGGGGCAUGCCUGUCCGAGCGUCAUUGCUGCCCUCAAGCACGGCUUGUGUGUUGGGCCUCCGUCCUCCUCCCGGGGGACGGGCCCGAAAGGCAGCGGCGGCACCGCGUCCGGUCCUCGAGCGUAUGGGGCUUCGUCACCCGCUCUUGUAGGCCCGGCCGGCGCUUGCCGACACAUCAAUCUUUUUUCCAGGUUGACCUCGGAUCAGGUAGGGAUACCCGCUGAACUUAAGCAUAUCAAUAAGCGGAGGA